rnacentral:tRNA from 1 species
GGGGUUGUAGCUCAGCGGUAGAGCGCUCACCUAGCAUGUGAGAGGCCCUGGGUUCGGCCCUCAGCACCA